rnacentral:ncRNA from 1 species
AUAAAUUUUAGUGUUAAAUUUUAAUUAUUUUAAAAAUAUUUAAAUAUUUAAGUAGUAAUUAAUAUUAAAUAUUUAAGAAAUUAAGAUUUAGUUAUAUUAAAAUUAAUAACAAAUUUUGUGCCAGCAGUUGCGGUUAAACAAAAAUUAAAUUAAAUUUUUUUUUAGUUAUUAAUUAAUAAAUUUUUCAUAUAUAUAUAUAUAUAAGUUUAUAAUCAAAAUAAUAAAUUAUUAAGUGAAAUUUUAAUUUAUUCAAAUUUUAUUUAAUUUUUAUGAUUUAAUAAAUUUAAUUAAAAACUAGGAUUAGAUACCCUAUUAUAAAAAUUUAAAUUAAAAUACUAAAAUAGUAAAUAAUUAUUUAUUGAAACUUAAAUAAAUUGGCGGUAUUUUAGUUCAUUUAGAGGAAUCUGUUUAAUAAUUGAUAAUCCACGAAUAAAUUUACUUAAUUUAAAAUUUUAUAUAUCGUUGUUAAAAAAAUAUUUUUAAAUAAUAAUAAUAUUUAAAUUUUUAAAUAAAAAAUUAAAUCAGAUCAAGAUGUAGAUUAUAAUUAAGAAUAUAAUGGAUUACAAUAAAUUUAUUUAAAUGAAUAUUAAUUUGAAAUAAUUAAUUGAAAUUGGAUUUAAAUGUAAUUUUAUUUAAUUUAAUAAAAUGAUUAUAAAUUAAAUUAUGUACAUAUUGCCCGUCGCUUUCAUAUAUUAUUAUUUAUUUGUAAUAUAAUAAAUAGUAUAAGUUGAAAUAAGUCGUAACAAAGUAGAGGUACUGGAAAGUGUUUCUAGAAAGAA